AAUGAACGCUGGCGGCAUGCCUUACACAUGCCAGUCGAACGGUAACGGGCCUUCGGGUGCCGACGAGUGGCGAACGGGUGAGUAAUACAUCGGAACGUGCCCGAUCGUGGGGGAUAACGAGGCGAAAGCUUUGCUAAUACCGCAUACGAUCUACGGAUGAAAGCAGGGGACCGCAAGGCCUUGCGCGGACGGAGCGGCCGAUGGCAGAUUAGGUAGUUGGUGGGAUAAAAGCUUACCAAGCCGACGAUCUGUAGCUGGUCUGAGAGGAUGAUCAGCCACAAUGGGAACGGAGAACCGGCCCGAAUCCCAAGGGAGGGCGCAGUGGGGGAUUUUGGAACAAGGGGGGCAGGCUUAUUCCGGCCUGGCGGGUGGCGGAUGGAAGCCCUUCGGGUUGUAAACGGUUUUUUUAGGAACGAAAAGCCUUCUUUUAAUACAGGAGGGUCAUGACGGUACCGUAAGAAUAAGCACCGGCUAACUACGUG
rnacentral:rRNA from 1 species